rnacentral:rRNA from 1 species
UACGUAGGGACCAAGCGUUGUUCGGAUUUACUGGGCGUAAAGGGCGCGUAGGCGGCAAUUCAAGUCAUCUGUGAAAUCUCCGGGCUUAACCCGGAACGGUCAGGUGAUACUGUUUUGCUAGAGUGCGGAAGGGGCAAUCGGAAUUCUCGGUGUAGCGGUGAAAUGCGUAGAUAUCGAGAGGAACACCAGAGGUGAAGACGGGUUGCUGGGCCGACACUGACGCUGACAGACGAAAGCUAGGGGAGCGAAUGGG